rnacentral:rRNA from 1 species
GGAUGCGAUCAUACCAGCAUUGAAGCACCGGAUCCCAUCAAAACUCUGAAGUUAAGCGUGCUUGGGCGAGAGUAGUAAUACAAUGGGUGACCUCUUGGGAAGUCCUCGUGUUACAUUCCC